rnacentral:rRNA from 1 species
GGGACACGUGGUAUCCUGUCUGAAUAUGGGGGGACCAUCCUCCAAGGCUAAAUACUCCUGACUGACCGAUAGUGAACCAGUACCGUGAGGGAAAGGCGAAAAGAACCCCGGCGAGGGGAGUGAAAAAGAACCUGAAACCGUGUACGUACAAGCAGUGGGAGCACCUUCGGGUGUGACUGCGUACCUUUUGUAUAAUGGGUCAGCGACUUAUAUUCUGUAGCAAGGUUAACCGUAUAGGGGAGCCGCAGGGAAACCGAGUCUUAACUGGGCGUUAAGUUGCAGGGUAUAGACCCGAAACCCGGUGAUCUAGCCAUGGGCAGGUUGAAGGUUGGGUAACACUAACUGGAGGACCGAACCGACUAAUGUUGAAAAAUUAGCGGAUGACUUGUGGCUGGGGGUGAAAGGCCAAUCAAACCGGGAGAUAGCUGGUUCUCCCCGAAAGCUAUUUAGGUAGCGCCUCGUGAACUCAUCUUCGGGGGUAGAGCACUGUUUCGGCUAGGGGGUCAUCCCGACUUACCAACCCGAUGCAAACUACGAAUACCGAAGAAUGUUAUCACGGGAGACACACGGCGGGUGCUAACGUCCGUCGUGAAGAGGGAAACAACCCAGACCGCCAGCUAAGGUCCCAAAGUCAUGGUUAAGUGGGAAACGAUGUGGGAAGGCACAGACAGCCAGGAUGUUGGCUUAGAAGCAGCCAUCAUUUAAAGAAAGCGUAAUAGCUCACUGGUCGAGUCGGCCUGCGCGGAAGAUGUAACGGGGCUAAACCAUGCACCGAAGCUGCGGCAGCGACACUAUGUGUUGUUGGGUAGGGGAGCGUUCUG